CCGUUCUCUUGGACCACUAUGAACAAUAUAAAACAGAGGUUCUUAACUGGAUCCAUGGGCCCAUGCGGUCUGUGGAAUAGAAAUUGGAGCAGCCAUGAACAUAGGUAGGGAAAAAUUACAGCUUCAUUUUUACUAUCCUGUAUCUGAGAUGUAGCAUUUCCUUCAAUUAUGAGUGUGACAACAGGCUGCUAGUAUGAGCAUGACCUGUGAUUUUUGUCAUCAAUGGAAAUCACAAAUAUUUUCAUAUCACAUUACAGUUGCUGUACGUAUCUGAAAUAUCAUUUACACCCACCACUAUUUUGAAGUUACAGAAGCUAUUAGAUAAACCCUGGAAAUGUGGGAUCAGUCUUCCGGAAGAACUCUCCUCCACUCUAGCGGGCCACUGUCUGGAAACUGUGCAUGGGUAGGGCGGCCACUGGGCAGUGAGUUAGAGUGUUCUCAUGGGGGCGACCCACGCAUUCCAACAUUCCUUAACUGUAAAUGUUUGUGGAUCAAUAUGCAGAAGGAGUUGAAUCAUUUUCAUAGUUUGCCCAAGUUUCGUCCAUCUGAAUUGCUCUAAUGAGAGCUUUUCUCUCUCCUUCGGCAGUGCAGCCUUUGGUGACAUAGAUGAGCUCAAACAUGUCUGAUGGCUGAGCUGACUGCUGAAGUGUGAGGUUUAAAGUAACUCCUUGUGAUUGCUAACAGAUUGCAUGGUGACAUGGGUUAUGCACAGUGUGGUAAGCUCUGUGAGCAGUGGAAGUCCUUUCUCUGAUUUAUUUUUCUGUUUUUACUCUGCACAAUGUUUGUGUUUUGAAGUAGAGUCUUGCAUGCACAGUAUAUUAUUCACAUGUUGUUCUUGUGUUAUUGUUCUGUGAAAAUGCCACACACUUAAAAGAAUACCUCUGUGGGAAACAGUGACAAUAUGAGAAAUGAGAACCAUUAUUUCUAGAAAGUCACAGACAGUCACACGAAGCAAUCGCUGAAUUUCAAGAACAGGACUGUUGAGCAACUAUCUAAUCCCCUGGUCUUCACAAAGACCCAGCUUAUCUUGAGCUGGCAAAGAAAAGGAAGGUGUGAUCAAAAUUGUGUACCUGGUUUCUUUUUGUGAAUGAAGGGAUGGGGCAUAAAAGCCACAAUGACUUUCUUACUACUGUGGAAAGAUUCUUGAGAAGGGAAUUUUGAAGUCGGGAAGACUGAGAGAGUCCCUCAUGUCUGUCAGUUGAGACAAUGCACCCAAGAAAAUGAAGAGCUUUGUGUGUACGUGGAUGAAGAAAGCUCAGUUUGAAAAAGCCAAGACCCUUCGAAAAUGUGGAUUGGCUGUUUCAUGAAAACUUCUUCUGGAAGCCCUCCUGAAGUUUCUGCACAAGUGGCAAACAGAAGAAGGCUCACUUUUCUGGAGGAAGUUUACCUAAAGCCACACGCACGGGGCAUGCUGAGAAGCAGGGAAAUGGCUCUCUAGUCAGGGGAGAACGGUUGGCAUAUUUUGAAGUGGAUUAUGGAGGGGUUGGCAGCCUUGCCACUCCCCUCAGCAAGCCACUCAAUGAAACCAUAGACCUCUUUCAACAUAGCUACCUCUUUGUUUUGUUCAUGAUGACCCUGCUUAUGUCAACAAAGAAGAAUUAUUGUGUUUUCACUUGCUGCAUUUAACACGGACAUAUUCAGGCUUUUCCAAAAAUCCUGGGACAAGUUUUGUUGGUGGUCAUUAAAAGUCAUCAACUUCAUCAAAAGGGUGUGUCAAGAAACAAUAGAAAAUGAGGGGUUUCUCUACCUUAGAGGAGCUCACUGACUUUGAAGAGGCAAGUUUUACUUUUUCUAAUAGAAACAGAAAAUGCAUUCUUGGAGCACUUUGAAAGAAAGAAUUUUGUCUGUGGGUUGGUUGGCUUUCUUGGCAGGUAUUUUUAACCAUAGGAAUGAGAUGACUCUUAAUUCCCUGAUAUCACCAUUAUGGAUGCCUCUGAAAACAUUCUGAGCUUACUUGGCUCCACUGCUGAUGAUGAGGCUGACAUCUUUGCAAACUUACAAGUGCUUUUCCUCAAUGGAGGUGAGUUACAAAAUUCUGUCAAUUUCCUUGAAAAGAGUAAUCUACAAACACCUGGAAGCACUUUAGAACUCUUUGAAAAGUUAUUUCUAUCUUGAUGGUAACAAAAUUGAACACUAGAGUAGUGUGCUUUUUCUUUCUGAUGUAAAUUGCAUCAGAGGUGUUCACCUAGCCAAAGAUGAAUUCAUUGAUCUCAGGAUCACAAACCCACUAUAACUAGAGUUUCACUAAAAAGCCUCCGGGAGUUUUGGUGGUCUUUAGGAGACACGCAUCUUUGUGAGAGUGCUGUGGUUUUUAAUCCCAUUUUCAGCACUGUAUCUUUGAGGAUUGGAUUUUCAACAUUGUCACCAUAAAAAAAUAUCAAAAUCAACUGGAUUUCUAACAGGACAUGCGUAUUAUCUUAAAAAAAAAACAUUCCACCAUUUUAUGUUCUUAUUUAAGUCCUGUGUAUUUACGCAUUGAAAAACAUUCUAAGAAAGGUUCACAGGUGGCAGCUUUGACUGUUCAGCCCUCUCAUGCCCAGGACAAGGGAGGAAGGGAGCGCCAUAUAAGAAGGCACCUCUUCUUUACUUCCUAUAAUAACCGAUUGUAGGAAACUGGCUACUUUUCAACCAAAGCUCAGGUCUUGAAGUCCAACGCGUUACUGAGUUCUUCCUGAGUGCAUGGAGUAUGAUGUGAUAAGAAGAGGACCGUGUGCUUCCUUCCCUCAAGGAAUUUAUUUGUGGAGACAAAAUGAGUGCAUAAAACAAUUAAGGAGAAUUCAGUGCAAGGCUAGGUGGUAUCUUGAGAAAAACCUGCCUGUUAGCUUUUUUAUUGUAGCAUCCCCAGAGUCUCAAAUAUUGCUUGGCACAUACUGUGUGCUAGGAAAAAAAAUCUGUUGGAUGAAAAAAUUGGUGACCGAAUUUCAAAAAUAUCUAUUGUUAUGUUCAUUAGUGAAACCUUGAAAAUUCAGAAGAAUAUAAAGAAAUGAAGAAGUAAA